CGUAAAUCGCAAUUGUCGCGUGAGCGGCUUGUUCAUGAAAAAUUAUUAAUUAUUAUGCCUCUUGAACCCAUAACGAGAAGGAACAUGAAGCGAGACAUGGAUGUACGCGAUGUACGAUCAAGUUCGAAGACAACCAACCGUAUAUGUUUAAUACAUCGAAGAUCUGUCGAAUCGUUACGCGAGCUUUAGCACAGGCUCCACAUGGACACUCGGCCACGGGGGCCGCCAUUGUUGUAUCCAGAUGGUCGAUAUAUCGUCCUCGGAUCUCUCUAACGCGCGGAUUAGAAAUUCUCUUUUCCAUUAUUCUUUUCUCUCGUUACUUUUCUCUCAUUAUUGUGUAUUUAUCUUUAUUUUAUUGUCGUUUAUUAUCCUUGUUUUAUUUAUCUUGUUAUCUGGUAUCUGUGAUAAUGAUCAUCGACUUUUUCUAUUUUAUACAUAUAUAAAA